rnacentral:rRNA from 1 species
GAUGAACGCUGGCGGCGUGCCUAAUACAUGCAAGUCGAGCGAACGGACGAGAAGCUUGCUUCUCUGAUGUUAGCGGCGGACGGGUGAGUAACACGUGGAUAACCUACCUAUAAGACUGGGAUAACUUCGGGAAACCGUAGCUAAUACCGGAUAAUAUUUUGAACCGCAUGGUUCAAAAGUGAAAGACGGUCUUGCUGUCACUUAUAGAUGGAUCCGCGCUGCAUUAGCUAGUUGGUAAGGUAACGGCUUACCAAGGCAACGAUGCAUAGCCGACCUGAGAGGGUGAUCGGCCACACUGGAACUGAGACACGGUCCAGACUCCUACGGGAGGCAGCAGUAGGGAAUCUUCCGCAAAGGGCGAAAGCCUGACGGAGCAACGCCGCGUGAGUGAUGAAGGUCUUCGGAUCGUAAAACUCUGUUAUUAGGGAAGAACAUAUGUGUAAGUAACUGUGCACAUCUUGACGGUACCUAAUCAGAAAGCCACGGCUAAUUACGUG